CCUACGGGAGGCAGCAGUGGGGAAUAUUGCACAAUGGGCGCAAGCCUGAUGCAGCCAUGCCGCGUGUGUGAAGAAGGCCUUCGGGUUGUAAAGCACUUUCAGCGGGGAGGAAGGCGGUGAGGUUAAUAACCUCAUCGAUUGACGUUACCCGCAGAAGAAGCACCGGCUAACUCCGUGCCAGCAGCCGCGGUAAUACGGAGGGUGCAAGCGUUAAUCGGAAUUACUGGGCGUAAAGCGCACGCAGGCGGUCUGUCAAGUCGGAUGUGAAAUCCCCGGGCUCAACCUGGGAACUGCAUUCGAAACUGGCAGGCUAGAGUCUUGUAGAGGGGGGUAGAAUUCCAGGUGUAACGGCGAAAUGCGUAGAGGUCUGGAGGAAUACCGGUGGCGAAGGCGGCCCCCUGGACAAAGACUGACGCUCAGGUGCGAAAGCGUGGGGAGCAAACAGGAUUAGAUACCCGAGUAGUC
rnacentral:rRNA from 1 species